CCUACGGGAGGCUGCAGUGGGGAAUUUUGGACAAUGGGCGCAAGCCUGAUCCAGCCAUGCCGCGUGGGUGAAGAAGGCCUUCGGGUUGUAAAGCCCUUUCGGCCGGGAAGAAAUCGUGCGGGCGAACAGUCUGCAUGGAUGACGGUACCGGAAGAAGAAGCACCGGCUAACUACGUGCCAGCAGCCGCGGUAAUACGUAGGGUGCGAGCGUUGCGCGGAAUGAUUGGGCGUGAAGCGUGAGGACAGCGCGGAAAUCCCCGGGCUUAACCUGGGAACUGCGGUUGUGACUGUGGUGCUAGAGUACGGCAGAGGGAGGUGGAAUUCCUGGUGUAGCAGUGAAAUGCGUAGAGAUCAGGAGGAACACCGAUGGCGAAGGCAGCCUCCUGGGCUGAUACUGACGCUCAUGCACGAAAGCGUGGGGAGCAAACAGGAUUAGAUACCCGAGUAGUC
rnacentral:rRNA from 1 species